GACAGAGGCCUCGAGCGUUAGGCGGAAUCACUGGGCUUAAAGCGUGUGUAGGCGGGCCCGUAAGUGUCUUGUGAAAUCCCACGGCUCAACCGUGGAACUGCUGGGCAUACUGCGGGUCUUGGGCCAACUAGGGGCAGCCGGAACAAGCGGUGGAGCGGUGAAAUGCGUAGAUAUCGUUUGGAACGCCAAUGGUGAAAACAGGUAGCUGGGAGUGUGCCGACGCUGAGACACGAAAGCCAGGGGAGCGAACGGG
rnacentral:rRNA from 1 species